rnacentral:rRNA from 1 species
UACGGGAGGCAGCAGUGAGGAAUAUUGGUCAAUGGACGAGAGUCUGAACCAGCCAAGUAGCGUGCAGGAUGACGGCCCUAUGGGUUGUAAACUGCUUUUAUGCGGGGAUAAAGUCACCCACGUGUGGGUGUUUGCAGGUACCGCAUGAAUAAGGACCGGCUAAUUCCGUGCCAGCAGCCGCGGUAAU